AAGCCGCAAGGGGAUGGGGUUCACCCUUUAACCGCCCCAGUAAGGGCUGAUGACUCCUGCCGUAUC
rnacentral:ncRNA from 2 species